GCCCGUGUAGCUCAAUCCGUACAGAGCGCUGCGCUUCGAACGCAGAGGUUGCAGGUUAAAAUCCUGCCAGGGGUGCCA
rnacentral:tRNA from 2 species